CUGCGCAGAGGGUGGGAGGAGGGAAGGGGUUGAGAGGAGAAAGUUGGUAGGGGCUCUGCCAGCUGUCCAAGGGCUGGGCCCAUUCAUCAGAGGAGGCGCCGGAGGGUAAGCAGAGGGCGACGUGCCUCCCAGGGGUUCGGAUGCGCCCACCACCCACCCCCACAGGAGGAGAGGCUGUGCAGGAAGUGGCUGCCGCCGGCCCGGAGGCCCCAGGGCACCCGCCAGCACCGAGGAGUACUUGGCCUCUCCCCCCGGACUCCCUUUCCUGAGCAAGGUGGCAGGGGGCUCCAAGAGCCGCUAAUCAAGGCGAGUGCAGAGCUCAGCCAGGAGCCAAUACCGCCCAGCCGCAUCCAGACACACCUGCCCAGGUGCUGCUGGGACCAGGACACUGCCUGCAGAUGCCGGGCCUCAUCCCAGGAAAGAGGAGGCUGGUGACCUGAGCUCCCAUCUCCUCCCGGGGCUUCAAGCAGAGCCUGGGCAUCACUCUGCGACCCCGGCUUUGACAUACGGGAAGCUGUCAGAACAGACCCCCUGGCUGAUGUUGGGGCAGGAAACUUCUGUGGCUCCAUCCAGGCCACCCUGAGGAUGGGGCUGGAAAACCUCGAGGGAGAGGAAAUGGCCUAACAGGUCCAGUAACCGGAGCACGGGCUGGAGCCUGAGACCAUUUCUCCAGGGCCCUGUUUCCUAGACGACACCAUCUCAUCGGCAGGAAAGGGAAGAGAGAGCCUCUGCCGAGUUCCAGCCGGCCUCUCCCCUCCCCCUUCUCCAGCACAGCUCCCUGUGGGUGCGGGCACGCGCGCGCGCGCGCGCGCGCACACACACACACACACACACACACACCCCGCCAAACCCUGAGCUGAAUGGGAACAGGAAAGGAGGGGCCCAGGCAGUCCAGAGGUUAAGGGCAGGAAGUCUCCGUGAGGCCAGGGGAGGAGGGGUCGGCUUCCGAGACAGUCACUCUGAGGACAGCUGCCACCUGCGUAGUCGGGCUGCAGCCUCAGCAAACUGCCAAGGAGACUCCUGUCCCUUGCUCCCAGGUCACACUCCCCUUUAGCUUCCUACCAAGGCACUGCUCUGGGGGAACCACACCCAAGCAAACACUCUCCCUCCUGUGCAACAGGCCCUAGAAGAACAGCUCAUAGGGUCUAACCCAGGUAUUCCGCAGCGCCCCCCAACACAGCCCUCUGGCGUCUGGCCCCCCUCUGACACUACCCACUUCAGCAAGUGAAAAGGGAAGCUCUGCAUCUGGGGAGAAACCCAGACCAUCACUGCCACGGCACAUCCACCAUGGGCUGGAGGACGGGAGACGGGAGAGGAGGGUCUGCAGGGGACACCGAGGACAGGUAGGUCACAAAGAGAAGGGGGGCAAGGUGCAAAGGAUCAACCAGCAACAGCCAAACAUCCUGGGCUGUAGCCAGGUGACGAAAGGCCACCUUACCAUCAACUCCCAGCACGCCAGCUUGCCCACUCCUACGCCUCCAAGAAGGCUUCCACUGUUGGAGGCCCCAGGGAUGCACUUUAGAAGCCCAUAUUUACACAACGCGCAAGGUACCUCAGGUAGAGACACCGUCAGAUCUGUUACUUAGCUGCUUGUCCUAUUAAUUCCUCAACUAGACAGUAGCUUCUCCAAGCCAGAGGCCAUCCCCCAGGGCCUAGGGUUCUACCACCCGCAGGAAGCAUUCCAUAAAUACGGCUGACGAUGGUGGUAAUGGUGCUUUCUAGGUCAGGAAAGCAUCUAUCCAGAAAGAAAAAGAAGAGGAUGAAGAAAAACCCUCCCCGACAAAUGCCCCUGAGAGAUAUCCAGCCUGGGUUCACAAGUGUUCUUCCUCGGGCUUGAGAGAGAAGCCAGCUGCUGGACCACAGAACUUUGUUUCCCCGAUUCACUAGGAAUGGGUGUUUCAGCCACAGGCUGGAACCGGAGGACAACACUGUCCUUUGUUUUCGGGACAUUCAGCCCCACCCUAGGCAGGCCACCACAUUGCACAACACCAUAGCCAUUGCGGCGGGCGGGGGGGGGGGGUGCUCCCUGGAACUGAGCAGUGCACAGCUCUUGCAACUACGCAGCAGCCCUGCACCCAGGCUAGGGGACGGGCAAGUGUAGCUUUCCCUGUGUUCCAAUCACGGCUAGGAUGGAUACCUGCAGAGCAGCCAGAGGCAUCUGUGAACAGGAGGCUGAACACCUCAGCAGUCAGCCGGGCACCAGGUCUGUGUGGACCCUCAGCUCCUUCCCCAGUCCUCCCCAGACCUCCCCAUAUCUCUUUGGCAGGAAGAUCGCUAUCCAUAAGUUCAAGUCGAUAAAUAUUUACUAAGCCCUUGCUACACGCCAGGCUCUGUGCUAGGAGCCAGGGACACUGAGAUGAAGUGGGACAGACAGAUGGUGCCAACACAGCGUCGCAAGUAUGAUGGUGGAGGCGCUGCGGAUGCUGAAAGGAGUGACCCUGGAGGGAUGAGGAGGACGUAUCUGGAGAAGGUCAUGCCUAAACCGGGUCUUUGUUUUUUUUUUAAUUUGGGCUGCGCCGGGUCUUAGUUGCAGCAUGUGGGAUCUAGUUCCCUGACCAGGGAUCGAACCCGGGUCCCCUUCAUGGGGAGCGUGGAGUCUUAGCCACUGGAGCACCAGGAAAGUCCCUAAACUGGGUCUUGAAGAAAGAAAAGUAGGAGUUUGGCAGGAAAAAGGGUGGGGGGGGGAUUUGGGGGUAACGGCCUAAACGUGGAGCGUGUGCCCAAACUCUGAAGCGUUCAGAAUUACCAGUGGUAAAGGCCGAGGCAGGGGAGGUGAGGGAUGCUGGGCCGACGGGCAGGAGUCGGAUUAUGGAGGGCUCUGGACCCCACGCUAAAGGUUGCGGCAGGUGGUGUGAUGCCUUUUAAGCAGGGGCAACGAAAGGCCAGCUCUGCGUGUUGGAGAGCCUUCCCCGCCCGCCUAGUGGAGGCAGGGGGUCAGAGACAGAGGGACCUGUUAGGAAGGUGUGGCAGAAGGCCAGGCAAGGUGGGGACUUCCCUGGCGGUCCAGCAGUUCAGACUUCGCGCUUCCACUGCAAGGGGCACGGGUUCGAUCCCUCGUUGGGGAACUACGAUCCCACAUGCUGUGCAGCGCAGCCAAAAAAAAAAAAAAAAAGAA